rnacentral:tRNA from 1 species
GGACGUUUAGCUCAGCUGGGAGAGCAUCUGCCUUACAAGCAGAGGGUCGGCGGUUCGAUCCCGUCAACGUCCACCA